rnacentral:ncRNA from 1 species
AACAAUUGUGGAAGCGAUGAACAACCAUUUGUAUGUGGGCACUUGAAUGGUUGGAAGCGAGUAGUGCAACCGACCCUAUUAUUU